AGCAGCUGCCACAUUGCAUAUGGCACGUGAGGUAUUUCAUUUAAUUUUGGAUAAUUUUAUGGCAAGAAAAGACACGCAACAUGGUUUAUGUUAACAACCAACAACCGACAACGGACAACUGAACAGAACAAGUUUGUUAGCUGCUUUUGGGCCAUUGAUUAAAUGGGCUUAAAGCAUUGACUAAUGAUGACUGAAGAUUGGGAGGCGCGUUAGAGCGCAUAAUUCGACUAACCAAUGGCUGAAUGUUUCUUGUACUAUCGGGAAUGUGCCACAUCAUGUUGAAGGUUAGCUACUACGAGUUGCUUCCUUGGCCGUCAUCCAACUACAUGGCCCCAAUCUUGAGCCUGGACAAUUGUCAAUUGCAGAGCAUUUUCAUGUUGUCAGCGGGUUGCUAAAGUUGAGGGUGGGUAGUGUGCACCACUUCAGCUCCACUUUUGGGCUGCUAGCCAUAAAUCAUUUGUAAGGCUGAACGAACGAUGACGACGAAAAUGUCAAGCACAGGAUGCGCUAAAGGACAACGGAGCAAGGCGUUGCAGCGCCUUUACACGUGAUGGACAUUCAGGCCUUGUGGCAAUAGUACACACACACACACACACAAACACACAUACUUACACAUAUAGAGAGCAGACACUGUCCUGUGCCUGCAAGGAUAAUGACGCGCAAAUCGAGCCCAUCAUCAGUCGUCUUCGCUGUCUUUGGCGUUGUCUCUGCUUUGUUUCAUGUUGUUAUGCUUUGCUUUUAGUUGCCUCUAUUAUCCUUAAUGCGACUCACUUUGUUAGAAACGUCAGUCGGCCUGCAAGCGCCAUUAUCAUCACGUUGUGUCUCUUCCCAAAAAAAAAAAAGAAAAGACCACAUCGCCAAAUGGAAAAUGUGCAGACACGCCGGCAGCAGCUCCCCUUCUUUAACUCCACCCCCCCUAGAGAAAUGUGUCCAAAAAUGCACGAAAAUAAAGAUAAAACAUGACAGGCAGUUCACAUUCGGUCAUUUAUAAUAAGCCAAAUAUGAACGGGACCGCAUGUGCCAGAGACUUUCUUCUCUUCCUUUCUUCUCACUUCUUCUCUUUUGCUUUUGGCGGAUUUGUCUUAGUCUCAGGUUACACUCUCUGACUGGAUAAAAUAUUAACUUUGGGUCCUUUGAAAUAAAUAACUUACAGAGACCAGUAAAUCUAUAGA